CAGUCGAGAAUUUUUCUCAAUGGGCGCAAGCCUGAAGGAGCGACGCCGCGUGGGGGAUGAAGGGCUUCGGUCCGUAAACCCCUGUCAUCUGGGAACAAUUCCUGCACUUUAAUAGAGUGCAGGUUGAUAGUACCGGAAGAGGAAGGGACGGCUAACUCUGUGCCAGCAGCCGCGGUAAUACGUAGGUGGCAAGCGUUGUCCGGAUUUAUUGGGUUUAAAGGGUGCGUAGGCGGCCUAUUAAGUCAGUUCUGAAAUAUCCCGGCUUAACCGGGAGGGUGGGAUUGAUACUGAUGGGCUUGAGUGGAGUCGAGGUAGGCGGAAUUGACGGUGUAGCGGUGAAAUGCUUAGAUAUCGUCAAGAACACCGAUAGUGUAGACAGCUUACUAGACUUCAACUGACGCUGAGGCACGAAAGCGUGGGGAUCACAACAGGAUUAGAUACCCUGGUAGUCCACGCCCUAAACGAUGGAUACUCGACAUACGCGAUACACAGUGUGUGUCUGAGCGAAAGCAUUAAGUAUCCCACCUGGGAAGUACGACCGUCAAGGUUGAAACUCAAAGGAAUUG
rnacentral:rRNA from 1 species